GGGGAAUUGUUCGCAAUGGGCGAAAGCCUGCCGACGCAACGCUGCGUGGAGGAUGAAGAAUUUCGGUUCGUAAACUCCUUUCGACCGAGAUGAACACCCCGCAAUUUAAUACGUUGUGGGACUGACAGUAUCGAGAGAAGAAGCCCCGGCUAACUCCGUGCAAGCAGCCGCGGUAAUACGGGGGGGGCAAGCGUUGUUCGGAAUUACUGGGCGUAAAGGGCGCGUAGGCGGUGCUCUAAGUCGGAUGUGAAAACUCUGGGCUCAACCCAGAGCCUGCAUCCGAAACUGGAGUGCUAGAGUUCUGGAGGGGGUAGCGGAAUUCCGGGUGUAGCGGUGAAAUGCGUAGAUAUCAGGAGGAACACCGGUGGCGAAGGCGGCUACCUGGACAGAAACUGACGCUGAGGCGCGAAAGCUAGGGGAGCAAA
rnacentral:rRNA from 1 species